rnacentral:rRNA from 1 species
GAUGAACGCUGGCGGCGUGCCUAAUACAUGCAAGUCGAGCGAACAGACGAGGAGCUUGCUCCUCUUACGUUAGCGGCGGACGGGUGAGUAACACGUGGAUAACCGACCUAUAAGACUGGGAUAACGUCGGGAACCCGGAGCUAAUACCGGAUAAUAGAUUGAACCGCAUGGUUCAUUAGUGAAAGACCGUUUUGCUGUCACUUAUAGAUGGAUCCGGGCCGCAUUGGCUAGUUGGUAGGGUAACGGCCUACCAAGGCGACGAUGCGUAGCUGGUCUGAGAGGAUGAUCAGUCACACUGGAACUGAGACACGGUCCAGAAUCCUACGGGAGGCAGAAGUGGGGAAGAUUGGACAAUGGGCGAAAGCCUGAUCCAGCCAUGCCGCGUGUGUGAAGAAGGUCUUCGGAUUUUAAAGCACUUUAAGUUGGGAGGAAGGGCAGUAAGUUAAUACCUUGCUGGUUUGACGUUACCAACAGAAUAAGCAACGGCUAACUUAGUG